rnacentral:rRNA from 1 species
GCAGUCGCCACGGUAAUACGUAGGGUGCAAGCGUUAAUCGGAAUUACUGGGCGUAAAGCGUGCGCAGGCGGUUAUAUAAGACAGAUGUGAAAUCCUCGGGCUCAACCUGGGAACUGCAUUUGUGACUGUAUAGCUAGAGUACGGCAGAGGGGGAUGGAAUUCCGCGUGUAGCAGUGAAAUGCGUAGAUAUGCGGAGGAACACCGAUGGCGAAGGCAAUCCCCUGGGCCUGUACUGACGCUCAUGCACGAAAGCGUGGGGAGCAAACAGGAUUAGAUACCCCGGUAGUCCCUGUCUCUUAUAA